ACUGGUCAAAUCAACUGUUGAAAUAGGGAUUGAACAGAUUUCAAAUCCCCUCCACAUAGUUAAACUCAUCAUACCUUGCUAUUGCAUAAUUAAACCAUCCAAAAAAGUGUAAUCACAAUGUAUACUCACUAUAAAAAAAAAACAUUUUCUGCAAUAUGAAUUCAAAUCAAACAACAAUUACACAUAAAAAUCCAGAUGAUCCCAUAUGGUAAAAUCAAGAAUCUCUUCAAACAGACCGCAAAGAACUGAAAUUUAAGCAAAUCCAGAUGAUCCCAUAUUGGUAAAAUCGAGAAUUUUCUCGUCGCUACCGGAGAGUAACUCUGUUUAUAUUUGGUCAUGCACAGAGCUGGAACGGUGCUUGGGAAGAGGAGAGGUGGAAAAGGAGGACAUAGGAAGCGGCGGCGGAGUCAUGAAUCUAGAGUAAGAGGCGGUAGCGCAGAAGGAAGCAAGGGAGACCCUCGACAGUGUGAAGAAAGCUUCUGCAAUUAAAUUUGAAAAACAAAGGAAGAAAAGAGAAGAAGGUACAUAUUGGCGAGAAUCGGGCAAAGUGGAGCGUAUUUGGAGCGAUCAAAGUCAGAAGGAGCAGAAUUCCCCAAGCCAGUCAUGGUUUCGGACGAAACGGGGUGUGUUUCGGACGAAACACUCCAAAAAUAAGCCUGUUUCGGACGAAACAGUCUCUGUUUCGGACGAAACAAGGCCUGCACUCAUCCAGGAGAUUUCUAUCUCAGGCCAUUUCGGACGGAACAAGCCAACUUCUGACAUAAACGCAUUUUUAAUGAAGAAACGUGGUGAAGAGCUGAAAUGACAUAUAUGGGCAUCUUCUUGGUUUAUUUUCAUGUGUGGUUUCAUUUAGACUUGUACUAGGAUGUAAUUUUGCACCCUUUUUGUCCUUGAACUAUAAAAGGACCCCUUUAUUUCCCUUUUA